GCAAUAGUUUUGUGUUAAGGUUUGAGAGAAAUAAAGAGAGAGGAAGAGAGCAUUCAUGGCUCUGGGCUCAAGAUGGCUAAGAGUUUAUCUCAGAAAUGAAUGAUGAUGGAAAUGGUUGUGUCUUCAGUUAUAUAGUGGAGUUUUAGGGUUUCAGUCCCACAUGUGUAUCGCACGUGUGCUAGGCGUGGGCUGGUUUUCACAUCAGUGCAUGGAUCUUUUCAAGGCCCAGUUUCUUUUGGUUUCCAAGGCUGCCAAUCGUGCUCCAUCUUUCUUUGCAUCGGGACCCAUGUCCAAUGCCAAGUCCAAAUUUUUAAAUCCAGGUGCAUUCUUUUCUUGUCUUUCUUUCUCUAUUUAUUUAUUCUUUUCUUUUCUUUUCUUUAUUUCAUUUAGAAAGGUUUCAUUUAGUUAGGAUUCUUUAUUGACUUUACUAUUUUUUAUGUUUAGUUCGAUUUCUUUAGUGUCUUUGAUUUCAUUUCUUUUUCCACACCUUGAGGACAAUGUGUGAUUUAAGUUUGGGGGUGGGAAAUAAAAAAAUUUAGAUUUUUAAUUUUUGAGUCAAAUAAAUCAUUUCAAAUUUUAAGUUAAUAUCCAUAGAUUAUUUUAAAUGUUAGAACAAAUAGACAUGGUGAAGAUUAAUCCCACAAUAGAAUCUUUUCUAUUUAUCGUUGCUUAGACACUAAUUCAUGAGUUACACUUUGAAAAUUUGCACAUUCACAUCAACAUGGUUUGUGGGGAGUGAGAUUGAAAUACUUAUUUUUAGUCUAAGUUUAUUUUUAAUUUUUGUUUUAAGUAAAGUUAGUUCUUGUUAUAAAUAAAGUAAUAAUUGUUCCACAUGAGGCUUUGCCUAGUAACCGGGUCAAUCCUACUUGAUCAGCAAUGAUUCUCGCAUCAAACGGUAGAGUUUUGGCAUGGGGUAGGGUGGUUAGUUGGUUUCGGAGCCUUUUCACCUCAAGUAACUAAGUCCUUAGGGGUGUUCUACACCUAGUGCCCUAAAGCUUUUGUGGUUUGGGAGUUAUUGACCUAAAGCUCGCUACAUGAGUUGGAUCGAAAGCUUAAGUGAACUGACAUUGCACGACCACUACUAUUACUUAAAAAUAAAAAAAAACAAAAUAAAUAAAAAUAAAUAAAAACUAUAUUUAAAGUUAGUGCAUGUGGAAUAAAAGGGACAAGAAGUCAGGAUUUUAGUCGAGUGUCUUUAACUAUAUUGGUUCACUUUACACCAAAGGAAAUUCAUGAAUUCUUUUCUAAUUGAUUCUAAAUGACUUAGACUAUGUGGUGGGAUUAGUUGAAAUUUUUUGAAAUAUGUUUUGAUUUUUAACGUUUUCUAUGGAUUGCGACUUGAAGAUGAAAAUUUUGUCUUAGUUGAGUUUUAAUAAAGUUUUUUGUUAGUUUGCUAGUUUUUAUCUUUGUUUUUUAGUUUUGUUUUGCUUGAGGACAAGCAAAAAGCUAAGUUUGGGGGUAUUUCGCGACAAAAUUUCCCUCGUCGCACAAACUAUUUAAUUUAGUAGUGGUAGUAGGCUCCUUAGUUACUCGGCAUGUGCGCCACGUAGGCUUUGUAAUUUUUAGGGUCAAUAAGAUACAAAUUUCCAUCAAAGAUAAUCUACUAAAAAAAAUUUCAAAAUAAUUAACACCAUUAGGCUAAUUGACCGAAACACCUGAGGAGGGUGUUUGUCAAAGGACCUCGAGUGCCUAAGUCAGAAAAGCGUUUGUGGGAAACUGAUUAUCUAUGAAUUCUGAGUAGUAAAAUGGCAAUUAUUGAUUUCUCUUGUUGACUUGUACUGCCGUAGCAAAGGGAAACACCCACGAACUCUGAAAAGCGAUCCCCAACCUGCUUGAGCCCAAUGUGCAGAUAGGUGAGAAAGAGACUUCACGGGCUUGUUGGUGAUGUGCAGUGACGCUUGACCCAUCGAGGUGGAGAAGGUAGUCUGCUCACCAUGUCAAGGAUAGAACUGUCAUCUUGAGUUUGAAGUCCACAUGGCGUAUAUCAACUAGAGGUGGAGAUCGAAGGUAGUCUGCUCACAACGUCAAAUGUAAAACUUCGUCCAAGGCCCAUAGACAAAUUAGUGUAAGAAUUUCGGUUAAGCGGAAGAUAGGUCCCACGUGGCGUAUUCCCAAUUGAUGCCAUUCAUGGUAUGGCAUUCAUCGAUGCCUUACUAAGUUACUAUUUGGAUUCCCUAUUGUGUCUAAGCUUACUAAGAAAUGUACCUAUCUCUUUACUUCUUUGAAACUAACAUAUUUCAUUAAGUGUAUAAAGCACUGAUAUAUAAAAAAUUUAAUAAAAAAAAUCCAGUCAAAAUGACAGCAAGUACAAAAUAGCAUAAGGUUCCAUGAAGAACGUGUAACAAAAGUGUGGGGCCUAAAUAGGAAGUGCACACGCAUUUGACGACUUGCUUAUUUUGGUAGAAAAAUCAAUGGCCUGAAAAGCUUACGAUGAAGAGAACUUUAAUGAAAAGCAUCUGAUAUUGUUCAUUUUAACGAAAAAUUACAUUUUUACACUAAAAAGUCAAUCUUGGUACUAUUCACUUUACCCUUUAUUUUGUCAUUUUCAUUAAAACUCAAAGUUUUCCAGUCAUUUUCAUUAAUUUUCCCUAUGAUAAAUUGGGUUUUUUUUUUCUUAAAUUGU
rnacentral:lncRNA from 1 species